UUCUUCAAAGCCUUCAACCGUGGAAGGUUUCUCCUUUUCAUUUGCAGAGCUCUGCAAGAUGGCCUUGUAUUUCUCAAAAAAUGGUGGUUCAAUUGCCAUUGCCUCACUAUCUUCUCGAUCCUGCUCAGACAAAAGAAAAUGGAGUAAGUAGUUAAAACUCAAUCAAAAGAACUACUACCGUUUAUAUGAAUUGUAAAAUCAAAUGUUCAUAAAGAACUUUUGAAAUUGCAGAAAAUGGUCCAAUGAUCACAUGGAUAUGCAUAAUACCUACAAUGAAUUACUUAUAGUUCAAUGAUCUUAGAAACAAUUGAAGAAACUGAAUCUUUCCAAGUGUUAUUCUUGCUAUAAAUUUGUCAGUAGUCCUUGUGAAACCAUAUAAAUAUUAUAUAUAGUACAUAUCAAUAUGUCCUACAUCUUACUGCUUCUUAUAUGUUUUGAUAUGUCUGCAGUUACUGAGUUGUUUUCAUUUUCAUGACAAACAGUGAAAGACCCCUUUUGUCAACUAAUUUCCAAAUGACAAUUAGGGAACAUUGUAUUCAUUUCCCAAGCAACAAUAGUUAUCCUUGUAUGGUUAUAUGGAUUUACUCAUACCAUUGGAGCUGAUCUUGCUUUUGCAAAGCCAUCCAGAGCAGUCAUUUUAACCUUUUACUGUCAUACAUAUACAUAUACAUAUACAUAUACAUAUACAUAUGAUUUAAAGAGAUUCCAUGUUCUGCAGAUAUCUUAGUAGUGGUUCAUGUUGAGUUAUGAAUUAUCCUUUAAUUCCUCCAAUACAAUUCCCUGAAUGAGGUUAGAAUUUUUUUUUCCUAACUUGGUCAUGAGAGACCUUAACAAAAUGUGUUGUGUUAGCUAUAGGUAUAGAAAGGUGCAUAUAUGGUUAAAUGAAGUGAAGUUAUGUAUCAAAUUCUCCUCGUUAAAUUACCUGAUGGAUAUCAGCUUUGAAUUUGUGUGUAUUCACCUUAUCUCCCUUGGCAGAUUUCUGACAAUGCAAGCUCAUAAGCAACUACAAGGAGAAGAAAAACCCCACAAACCAUUUCUGCAAUUCACAUCAUUGGAGUUGAGGAAAUUAAUGAUUAAAGGUAAAGUAGCAGAUAAUUGGAUACAUUCUAAGCAUAAGAAUAUUUCACUUUUUAAAGCAAUAUUCCUUUGAUACUGGAUGACCAAUCUAGGUGACAUAUUGUGUAGUAAACUUUGGUGUGGUCAUUUUGUGUUAAGCUGUUUUUGGGUCUUUUCCUCUUUGCCCCACUUUAUAUGGAACCCCUUCUCAGUUGUUGGAUUUAUGUGUUUUUCAGCUGGUUCCUAAGAUUUGUUUCAUUGGCUGAGGAAAAUAAGUUUAGGGCUUUUAUGCUGAAUUGUUUAUAUAUCAUGAAACUCACUUAGAAGAUAGGCACUAUAUAGCUAAAUGUAGGAAGAACUUUAAUAAAUAAAUAAAUAAUCUAUCUUAAUCACACAUAUAUAUAUAGUCAACACUUACCUUUGAAUUCAAAAAACAUAUAUUGCAUAGAAUCCCCUACUUAACUAAACAUACAGGGAUUGAAAUGCAAGGGAAUGAAAGUACUAAAACGAGAGGGUAAAGCUGUUAGAAAAGAAGAGUUAUAAGUGAAAAAGCAAUGCAGUAAAUAACAUAAAUUUCUAGGGUUUUUAUGGGAAUUGUGAAGGGAAGACUGAUAAGUAAUAAUAAACCCAUUGUAUAUACAACCAGAGAAACAGGCUUAUAUAUAAUAGAAAUUUAUACUAUUGGCUGAAAGAAACUAAUGGCUAAAGCAUAGAACACGCGUCUAAAGAAGUUAUCAGAGAACAGGCUUAUAUAUAUAUAUAUAAGAGGCUUUCAUUGCCAAUGGAAAGUCCUUUCGACAUUAUAGCUAGCUGUUAAUGUUUGCUGCAAGCAUUUCAAUGAAAACUUCAGUCAUCUUAUCUACAAUUAUUUUCUUGUCUUUCCACCAAUAUUUUUUCAUCAAGGUUUGGACCUCUCCUUUUACUGGCUGAAGCUUAAACUUCUCAUCAUUUCAAUAUUAUAUAGGGGGGACAUCACCAUUAAAGACCAUCCAAAAAGACUUUUUAAAGCUAUUCUAUAUAUAUAUAUAUUGAAAAUGAUGAAUAAAUUUAUUGAUUAUUGUCGACCCUAAUUUAAGUGGUGGUAUAUUUCUCCAUAAUGAUUUUUAUGGUAUAAGACAUAAGUUAUGUGGUAUAUCCCAACACUUAUAAAAUUUAAUGAAAUAAUUAUUUAAGUUUUUAAAAGAGUUGCACUUGCUAGGAUUUUGUGCAAUGUGCUUUCUACACCAUGCAAACAAAGUGUGAUCUAGUUUUUGACACGAGAGGCUCCUUUUAAUUAUUGUCUUAAACAUAACUUUAUGCUAUUAAUUGUGGUUUCAGGUGGAUCAGUCGAUAGUUAAGUCACUUUCACUAGUGUAUCCAGUGGACUUUUUUUGCUCUAAUAAAUUAUUUGGUAAUAAGGCAAUUAGAAAGUCAUUCAACAGGAUAUAUGACGAUUAAGAUGCCUUUAUACGUUUCUGGCAAGACAAAUAGAAAGAUUGUUUUGAAAGAGGAAAACGUGUGCAUUUUAUUUCAAUACCAAAUAGUAAUCCAAUAUGAUGUUUUGCUCAACUAGUAGGUUUCUUUUACUUUUUCCUUUUGCUUCAAAACCUUUUCACAACUCUCAUAAAAAAUGUGAGCAAAAAAGUUCAGUAUUUCUUUUACGAUUUUAAUGAGAAUCAAUCCAUAACAUUGCAACAAGUUUCUUCUAUAUCAAAGAUUGACUAAAUGCAAGAUUGAGACCUUAGAAACUUUAACAUCUCAAGUUUGAGUCUCACCUUAUGUAAAUGCGUGGAUUUUCUUUCAGUUUAAUACUUGUAAUAAUUAUUUUAUUAAAAUAUUAAAACUAAAAAAAUAUAUCGAGACAAUGAAAAUUUCAAAAAAAAAACAAGAAAAGAAGCAUAAGUUAGAAAUGAUAUUUUUUGCCCUCAUUAAAAGGAUACCAUUAUUUAGUGUGACAGCCUACCAAAUGAAGAAAUGUACGUUUAAGAUAUUCAACAUUUUUCAUGCUCCUACAACCUUAUCCUCAUCCCCUUUCAUGUGGAAAUGAAUGUUGACAUUAUUAGACUAAAAUUUCCAUGUUGCUUUGGUUUUAUUAAAUCUAUGUUGCGCCUGGGAGACAAUUUUCCGAGAAAAAAAGAAGAGAGAGAGAGAAGUUGAUAAGACUUUCAAAUUAAAUACAUAAAUUAGUAUAAAAAAAUUAUUAGGUUGAUCUCUAAUGGUUCUGGAUUGACGAUCAUGAAGAAUGGAUGUUGGACCAAACACACAUGAAUAGAUUGUGAAAUAAUUGAUUAGAAAAGAAAGUUCAUUCUACUGACAGAUAGAAUUUGAAGUGGAUGGAGCUAUGGUGGUAUCCGUAUAUGUCAGUGAUUUGUUAGUAUAGCUUAAGAGGAGAAAGAUAAGAUGUCGCAUACAAAAAUAACCAAUGGAAAAUUUUAUUAUAUAUAUCUUUUUCUAGUCCUAAAUUUUAUUGUUUAUAGUUCUUUUCUAAUUUUUAAAUAGGAGGAUAAUGUACUUCAGCACACUCGAAUUCAUAUCUUUCUGCACUAACAAUAAUACUGAUGCCAAUUGAAUUAAGACUCAAUCAGUAAUUAUAAUUUUUUUUGUUAAAAAGUAGAUUACAUCCACGUAUGAUACGAAAAAUAAUUUGAUUGGCCCUUAAAAGCUAUCUCCAACUCAAUGUUAGGCCUUUUUCAUGUCAAGAAAUAUCUGAUUUUGGUUAACUUUAUUUUGAUGAUUUGUUUAAAUAUGGCUGGUUUGUCAGUCUAAAAUAGUCAAUUAUUCAAUAGAAAAGAAUAUGAAUCUUGUUUUCUUGCACUAAUUGGGUAAUUGGUCUAUGGUUCAAGGGAUGUGAUGGGAUUAAUGAUGUUUUAGUUCUAUUGGGAUUUCUCACCUAGGUUGCCUACUAAUUAGCAAUGCCUUUAACCAUGCUUUUGGGGUCAAUUGGAUAAUUGGUCUAUGGUUCAAGGGAUGUGUUUGGGGGUUAAUUGUAGGUUAAUGAAUAAUGAUGAUGUGUUAAUUAGGACAUUAUUAUGCAAUUGGUAAUUAGAUAAUAUUAAAAAAUUAUGUCAUGUCAUAUCAUGUAAUGGCAAACGAAAUGGUUUCACUUGAAUUUUCAAUGAUACAUCUCUUGCUUGAGAACGACCUAGGGUAUUAAGGUUAUUUGAUGGGUUAGUUUGGGGAUUUUCAAACUAAGAAAGAGGAGAAGGAAAGAGAAAGAGAAAAAACUAAAAAAUAUUUGUAUAUUUUACGACUCACACAUCACUAAUAGAUAAUUUUUAUAAAUCAAAUGUCCCGGCAUAGAAAUUGAAUGAAAAUCUUUAAUCAAUAGAUCAAAUGUCUGAUCCAAAAUUCUUAGUUAGUUUGUAUCUAAUUAUUUAUAUAAAUGAUUAUAUAUUAUUAUUUAUGUUGUGUCAUGUUUCUAUUCUUUUUGUCUUAUAUUUCUUUUCAAUCAUAAUUUUUCAUUAUUUAUUAUAAUUCAUGAUUUGGUUUUAACUUAAAUAACAUUCUAGUAUAAUUAAUUAGUAAUUAAUGCUGGAGGACGUAAAUUCGAGUGUGUUGAAGCAUGUUAUCCUCUUAUUUAUGAGUUGGGAAGGGGUUAUAGAUAGUUGUAAGUAUUAUGUCAAAGAAAAUUACCAGAAUUGGUAAAAUUUAAGGUAAUGAGGCAACAGUAUUAUGAGAUUUUAAAAUAAAAAAUUCUAUUGCAUCAUAUUUUACUUCUCCAUGCUCACAUAAAAGAAUGAAUUACAUUUAAAGUUAAAAGCCCUAGAUUAUCACAGACAGAAUUUUCAUUGCACUUUUUUUUAAAUGAAAUCACAAAAAUUUCGAAAUUUUUAACUUUAUCAAUAAAUCAAAUUUUCAUUUUACUUUUUUUUCUUAUAAUUUGCGUUCUUGUUAACCCAAAGAAAUAUACAAUUAAAUGACUUAAUAGAGAGUAGGGCAGACAUAGGAGAAUAGUUAAGCAAAUAAAACCUGAUGCAUCUAACUUCCUAAGAAAAAGGGAUAAGAAAUUGGGCAUUGGCAUUGUCUGCCAUAAUAUCCAUGUAAACAGUCAGUAUUGCAGAUUUCUAGAGCAUGCCCAAUAGGAGCAAAUCGACACUUAAAAGAAACAUACAAUUACAAAACCUGUCGUGUCGAAAAGAAAACCCAGGGUUGUAAUAUAUAUAUUGGUAUAUAGAUUUUUUUUUUCAAUGGGGUUUGGUUUGUAGGGUUGGAAUUUGGGGCAAAAGGUUCACGUGGUACCCUGCCUGCUUUUGCAUGUACUUCACGUGGUAACCCAAGGGCAUUGCUUACAAGAAAAC
rnacentral:lncRNA from 1 species